rnacentral:rRNA from 1 species
GAUGAACGCUGGCGGCGUGCCUAAUACAUGCAAGUCGAGCGAACAGACGAGGAUCUUGCUCCUCUGACGUUAGCGGCGGACGGGUGAGUAACACGUGGAUAACCUACCUAUAAGACUGGGAUAACUUCGGGAAACCGGAGCUAAUACCGGAUAAUAUAUUGAACCGCAUGGUUCAAUAGUGAAAGACGGUUUUGCUGUCACUCAUAGAUGGAUCCGCGCCGACUUAGCUCGUUGGUAAGGUAACGGCUUACCAAGGAGACGAUGCGUAGCCGACCUGAGAGGGUGAUCGGCCACACUGGAACUGAGACACGGUCCAGACUCCUACGGGAGGCAGCAGUAGGGAAUCUUCCGCAAUGGGCGAAAGCCUGACGGAGCAACGCCGCGUGAGUGAUGAAGGUCUUCGGAUCGUAAAACUCUGUUAUUAGGGAAGAACAAAUGUGUAAGUAACUAUGCACGUCUUGACGGUACCUAAUCAGAAAGCCACGGCUAACUACGUG